UAACUUUCGUCAAAAAAAAAGCAGGAAAAUAUGAAUCUGGCCGCAAGCGACCAAAGUCAUGCAGAGGACCGUUACCAUGGUGACCCUUCAGCUUCUGGGGGAUGGGCGAUGUUUCUCGACCCGGGUUCCGUAACACUAGGAGCCGUUGAUUGAGAGCGACCUGCGAGCCUUUCAGGGCCAUCAGCCCCGCUGUGGAAGAUUAGGGCCCCAGUCGGACCCCCGAGGAGCCCAGGCAGAUGGGGGUUGGCGGUCCGGUGGGGGGAUGGAGCAGUGGGUGUGGGGUCCCCUCUCAGUCAGGCCAGCUGCAUUGCUGCACUCACACUGCUCAAAUCUACCGUGCCCCCCCCCCCCCCAUUAAUCACGACGCCAGCGAACGACAGUGGCCUGGAAUGGGCCUUGUCAUCCAGCUCGUACAUUAAGGACCCAGAAAAUGUGUGUUUGAUUAGCAGGAUGAGAGAUCGCUGUUUAAUUGCUUUUUUUAAUGUGGGGGGGGGCAGAGGCUAUCACCGGGGUUUAAUGGCAGAUUGCUGAAUUUGUGCCCCAUAAUUAGCCAUGUGUUUUAGAAAGUAUCAAAUACUGGUGUCGGCUUGUUAAUGGAUGCAACCAAGUCACAGGUGAAGGUGGGGAAUCGAUCGACCGAUGCGGGAAAAUUGGGCCGGGGGGGGUUGGUGUGCCCUCAGGAAGUCACAGUGACUGUGAUUCAUCAGCACGGCAAACCCCACUGGGUCAAAGCCCGGACUGUCACAGGCCAGCUCACCGACGCACUCCUGAACACGACAUCUGAGGCGUUUGCUGGGUCCGAACCAGCCAACAUCACUCGGGUCUGACCGUCGAUGCGUGACACGGGUUCUGAUGCUGUCUCUGGCAGAGCAGCGGCCGGCCACUGCGAUGAGUCGCUCCAUUAUUCAUGCGAAGUAAAAUAAACGGUGACCGGGGCGAUUAUGUCACCGUUGACGAGGAGCCUGAGAAUGGACAGGAGUUUUAAGGUCCGGA